CCUACGGGAGGCAGCAGUGAGGAAUAUUGGUCAAUGGGCGAGAGCCUGAACCAGCCAAGUCGCGUGAGGGAGUACUGCCCUAUGGGUUGUAAACCUCUUUUGUCGGGGAGCAAAAGCCGGACGUGUCCGGCUGUGAGAGUACCCGAAGAAAAAGCAUCGGCUAACUCCGUGCCAGCAGCCGCGGUAAUACGGAGGAUGCGAGCUUUAUCCGGAUUUAUUGGGUUUAAAGGGUGCGCAGGCGGAUUUUUAAGUCAGCGGUAAAAUCGUGGGGCUCAACCCCAUCCAGCCGUUGAAACUGGGGAUCUAGAGUGUGCGAGAGGUAUGCGGAAUGCGUGGUGUAGCGGUGAAAUGCAUAGAUAUCACGCAGAACCCCGAUUGCGAAGGCAGCAUACCGGUGCACAACUGACGCUCAGGCACGAAAGCGUGGGUAUCGAACAGGAUUAGAUACCCGAGUAGUC
rnacentral:rRNA from 1 species